rnacentral:rRNA from 1 species
AUGAACGCUGGCGGCGUGCCUAAUACAUGCAAGUCGAGCGAACAGACGAGGAGCUUGCUCCUCUGACGUUAGCGGCGGACGGGUGAGUAACACGUGGAUAACCUACCUAUAAGACUGGGAUAACUUCGGGAAACCGGAGCUAAUACCGGAUAAUAUAUUGAACCGCAUGGUUCAAUAGUGAAAGACGGUUUUGCUGUCACUUAUAGAUGGAUCCGCGCCGCAUUAGCUAGUUGGUAAGGUAACGGCUUACCAAGGCCACGAUGCGUAGCCGACCUGAGAGGAUGAUCAGCCACACUGGAACUGAGACACGGUCCAGACUCCUACGGGAGGCAGCAGUAGGGAAUCUUCCACAAUGGGCGAAAGCUUGACGGAGCAACGCCGCGUGAGUGAUGAAGGUCUUCGGAUCGUAAAACUCUGUUAUUAGGGAGGAACAAAUGUGUAAGUAACUAUGCACGUCUUGACGGUACCUAAUCAGAAAGCCACGGCUAACUACGUG